GUAAAUUGUGUGUCACAGACUUUAUAGUUCACAUUUAUGUGACUCAUUUAAAUCUUCUCCUGAAAGUGAAACUCUUACAAACACAUCAGGCCACAACCUGCUGCAGGUUAAUCAUUGAUCUAAAGACAGCUGACCUUUGAGCAGGAACUUGUGAGUCUUUUAUUGUGUUUAAUGCUCACAGUGCUGAAGCCUGCAGACACACCCACAUCAUAUUAUUUGUUCUCAGGGUUGUUCGGUGUGGCAGAGUCGGAACAGAAACUUUCUGCAGGUUAAUUAUUGAUCAAACUAAAGUCAUAUUAAGGAGCUACUGGCACGGAGUCAGAGCAGAGCUCAGAAAUCUGAAAUAUAUCAAAGUAUAUUAAAGUUAAAGAGUUUAGAGAACACUGUUUGGUUUGCUGCCUCAAAGGCAGAUGACUCUCAAUAUCACAAGAUCAGGUAAAAUUUCAGAUCAAGGAAAAUCACUGGGGUUAUCUGUGAAGAGGCAGAAAAGCAUAGACGUGGUCUACCUUAUAGCCAUUUUGAAAAGGUGCAGCAGCUGACCUUUGACCUGUGAGCUUCAGACUCUUUGCUGGUGUGAAGUGUUUAAUGUGACUUCAGCCUGCAGACACAGAGGACGGUUACGGAGAAGAAGCAGAGGAUUUUCUCAGUUUCUACACAGACCUGGUCCAGACAGCAGAGAGCUGCAGAGUGAAGACGUUCAUGGAAGCUGAGUCAGUGCAACGUCCUCUUUGAAUCCUGGAUCAGGAAGUAAAGCCGGUGAAGGUAGAAAGUGUGUGUGA